GCAAGUCGAACGAGAUCCUUCGGGAUUUAGUGGUGGACGGGUAAGGAACGCGUGAGGAUCUGCCUAAAGACCGGGACAACAGCGGGAAACUGCUGCUAAAACCGGAUGUGCCGAGAGGUGAAAUAUUUAUAGCCUUUAGAUGAGCUCGCGUCUGAUUAGCUAGUUGGUGGUGUAAGGGACUACCAAGGCGACGAUCAGUAGCUGGUCUGAGAGGACGAUC
rnacentral:rRNA from 1 species